rnacentral:rRNA from 1 species
UACAGAGGUCCCCAAGCGUUGUUCGGAUUCACUGGGCGUAAAGGGUGCGUAGGUGGUGGUCUAAGUCGGGUGUGAAAUCUCCGGGCUCAACCCGGAGGCUGCGCUCGAAACUGGAUCGCUAGAGGAUGGGAGGGGAGACUGGAAUUCUCGGUGUAGCAGUGAAAUGCGUAGAUAUCGAGAGGAACACCGGUGGCGAAGGCGAGUCUCUGGACCAUUCCUGACACUGAGGCACGAAAGCC